rnacentral:rRNA from 1 species
CCCUUAGAUGUCCUGGGCUGCACGCGCGCUACACUGAUGUGUCCAGUAAGCACCUAACCUCUUCCGAAAGGAACGGGUAACCUUUGCAAAGCACAUCGUGACGGGGAUAGAUUAUUGCAAUUAUUAGUCUUGAACGAGGAAUUCCUAGUAAGCACAAGUCAUCAGCUUGUGUUGAUUACGUCCCUGCCCUUUGUACACACCGCCCGUCGCUCCUACCGAUUGAAUGUUCCGGUGAGCUCUUCGGACUGCGCGGUCUGCAGUUUCUGCGUUCCGUGCGGAAAGUUGCGCAAACCUUAACAUUUAGAGGAAGGAGAAGUCGUAACA